AUUGAACGCUGGCGGCAGGCCUAACACAUGCAAGUCGAGCGGAGCGGCGGACGGGUGAGUAAUGCCUAGGAAUCUGCCUGGUAGUGGGGGAGAACGUCAGGAACCGGGCGCUAAUACCACAUCCUAUCGGAUGAGCCUAGGUCGGAUUAGCUCGUUGGUGGGGUAAAGGCUUACCAAGGCGACGAUCCGUAACUGGUCUGAGAGGAUGAGCAGUCACACUGGAACGGAGACACGGUCCAGACUCCUACGGGAGGCAGCAGUGGGGAAUAUUGGACAAGGGGCGAAAGCCGGAUCCAGCCAUGCCGCGUGUGUGAAGAAGGUCGUCGGAUUGUAAAGCACUUUAAGUUGGGAGGCGUUACCAACAGAAUAAGCACCGGCUAACUUCGUGCCAGCCGCCGCGGUAAUUC
rnacentral:rRNA from 1 species